rnacentral:lncRNA from 1 species
UACUAGAGCCAGGUUUCCGUCCCGGCCGCCUCCUCUCCGCGACUGGUAGUGCCGCCGGCGGCGGCGGCAGGCUUGCGCCAGUAUCCUGGGGGACUUCAUCGUCACGCCGGUUGUCUGGCAUGUCGUCGUUGCCCAACAACUUGUCUAGGUCUGCGGCAUCGCAGGACAGGAACUCCAGCUAGCCCUGGGUACUGGUGGUGGCCGUCGGCGGAAAAGGAUGCCUGGAAGGGAGAGUAAUCGGGCGGCAGGAGCAAGAGGUCGUCCAUUUGCACCGUUACGUAAGCUCUAGUGCCAGUGUGCCACUGCCACGCUCAUCGUAAUUAUAUACGGCAGAGUUUCGUGGUAUUGUUUUCAAGAUGUCAUGAUGUGAGAUAAAUGAAACUUGGAUAAAAUAUCUACUUCAUUUUAUAGUUUUAUAGACAUUUAAUUUCAAGACUUAUAAAAAGUUGGUAAUCGUGUCAAGAGAGUUUCAUUUAGAUGAAACAUAUUUUUUUCUUUUCUUAAAUACACCGCCAUGUCAUAAAAAAGAGCAAUAUUGCAACCUAUUUAAUGCAAAUGAAACUCAUAUGAAACUCCAAUCGAGACUAGUCUUAGUCGUAACUCACAAAAGAGUGUCACCUUGAGGCACUGCAAGAAUCCGAGCGCGAGAACCGCAAACUCCGUCUGAUAUUUCUCUCCGGCGUCGCGUUCCUGUUUCCCGCCCACCCACGGCCAGCAUGUGUCGGAAAGUUUGUAGGAAGGCAACAGAAGUGGGACAAAUUAAUUUUUUUAUUCUAUUCUACAAAUUAAAAAAAUAAUAACUACUAAAUCGAGUAUCCAAAUUAAAUUUUGUUUCCACCAUUAUGUUUCUUAUAAUAAAUCCUUCAAAACAAGAUCCCACGUGAAUAUGUUUAGAUAAAAUUUUAUUAAUGAAUAUUUAUUCUAUAAAGAUAGAAUAUUUUUUUAUUAUUGAACAAAGGUGAUGUUCUAGGUUCAUAAAAACAAUCUCCCGCCUUCACAAUAAAAAAAUUUAGUAUUCUAGUUUUCGGUUAAUGAAAUUUUUAUUAUAAUAUACAUAAAAUAAAUAAAUAAAUGAAUAAAUAAAUAAAUAAAUAAUAAAAUCUAGAGCAAAGCAUAAGAAAAAAGUAAAAACACUUAAGAAAAAAAAUUCAAAGAUCACAUGGAAACAUCCUAAGGCCUUGUUUAGUUCUAAAAAAUUUUGCAAAAUAGGAAUAGUACCACUUUCGUUUGUAUUUGACAAAUAUUAUCCAAUCAUGUACUAACUAGACUCAAAAGAUUCAUCUCGUCAAUUCCGACCAAACUGUGCAAUUAGUUUUUAUUUUCGUCUAUAUUUAAUACUUCAUGUAUGCGUCUAAAGUUUUGAUGUGAUGGGGAAUCUGAAAAAUUUUGCAAAAUUUUUUGGGAACUAAACAAGACCUAAAUAUACUUAGAACAUCAUAUGUAUAUUAAGUACACAUACUAAAUACACCACAUAACAUCACUAAAUAGUAAAUACAUCAUAGAACAUCGCAUAUGUAUUACGUGAAUAUCACUAAGUACAUCAUAGAACACCGUAUUUCUACUAAGUGAACGUCACUAAAUACAUUAUAGAAUAUCAUUAAAUACAUUAUAGAACAUCGCAUAUAUAAUACGUGAACAUCACUAAAUCUAUCAUAGAAUAUCACUAAAUAUAUUAUAGAACAUCACAUAUAUAUUACGUGAAAUCACUAUAUACAUCAUCAUGUAUACUAAGUGAACAUCACUAAAUGCACCAUAGAACAUCACCAAAUGCACCAUAAAACAUCACUAAAUAUAUUAUAGAACAUCGCAUCAUCGCAUAUAUUACAUGAACAUCGCAAAAAAAAAUUGUACAACAUCAUAUAAAUACCACGUGAACAUCACAAAAAACAUCAUAGAACAUAACACGUAUACCACAUGGACAUCAUAAAAUAUCAUAGAACAUCACAUAUACUACAUAAACAUCACAAAACAUGACAUUAUAUACCACAUGAACGUUGCAAAAAAGCAUUACUUUACAUCACAUCUCAUAAAAUAUAGAAAAUACAAAUUUAAACAAGAAAAAAUAAUUAAGUAAGGUAAAGUAGAAAAAUAAAAAAAUUAUAAAAACAUAAAGACAAAAGAAAAAAGGAAAAAGGAAAAAAAGAAAUAAAAAAGAAUAUAAUGUAAAAAUAAAAUAAAAUAAAAUAAACAAAUCAAUUAAUGAUAGUAAAUAAAAAAUGAAUGAAAUGGAAACAAAAAAAUAAUAUUAGUCCCUUUCUAUGCAAUUAAUAUUAGUUCACUAAAAAAUUCAGCAACCACCACAAGAUCAAUACCAAUAUGUUUGUUGUGCUUCAAUCACAUGUCACCCUUGGCGCAAAAAAACCGAGAACCGAACUCAAAGUACCGAAACUAAAUUUUUUGGUACCUUGUUCGGUUCCUAAUCUUCAAGAACCGUAAAUUCAGUACUAUACCUUGGAAACCGAAUUUACCGAAAUGUGUUGAGUUUGAGUGACAAGUUAUAUUAUUAAUAGCACUAUUUUAGUCUAUUAUAUUUUGUACAUGUAAUACUCUACUCAUAUAAUGUGGACAUGUAUAUGUAUAUAUUUGGGACUACUAUUCUCCAUGAAAUUAUUUCCAAAUUAUGUCAAAGUUAGCUUUUGAACAUGCUAUUACAUGUUCAUGCGAUCAAUUCGAUAUUUUUGGUAAAUACCAAAACUACUGAAACCGAAUUUUUUCUCCGUACCAAUUUUUGAAAGGAACCGAUCGGUUUUCUGAGGAACUAAAUUUCUAUGAGAACUCAGGUACCAAACCGAAUCGAACCGAAGUACCGAAUGCCCAAGGUAAAUCACAUGCAUGUAUGACAAAAAAAAUGAUCCAAUAAACACCUUUGUAAUCGCUGAAUUAAUGUGUUGCCAAAAGAAACAAAAACAAAAAAUAAAAAAAACAAAGAAGGAAAUGAAAAAUAAAAAAGAAAGGGCAAAAUGAAGCACAAAAAAAGGAAUAAAAAAUUAAGAAAAUAAAAAGGAAAAAUAAAAGAAAGAUAAAAGUAUAAAAUAGUAUAAAAUAACAUAAAACAGAAAAGAAAAAAAUUGAAGCUAUAAAAAAUAAAAAAAUAAAUGAAAAGAAAAACAAAAUAAAGAUAAGAAAAAAUACCAAGAAAAAAGGAAACAAAAAAGAAAACUAAACUAAACAAGAUCGAGCAGGAGGGAAAAUGAAAAUAAAAAUAAAAAAAUAAAAUAAGAAAAAAAUAAAAAUAAUAAAAAUAAAAUAAAAAAAAAAAGAAAAAGACAACCUACUCCCUCCAUACUCAGAUCUGACGUCCUAGGCUCAAGUUGUAUUUUCGCAAAACCUGUCGUCCGCUAUCUUUAGGACGGGAUUGCCCUUGACCUCCCCUGUAGCGGUCGCCACCAAGGGCUCAGUGCAUGCCACACCCACGGCUGAGUGAAUGUGUGAUGUUCCGAUGGGACCCGUCCGCUGCGGCACGGCAACUCGGCAAGGCGCGGUCUGCUACGUACAAUUUUUUUUUUUUCAAUGCGAGGUCGGCUACGUCAUGGAGGCCGGCUCCGCCCGCAGCUGUGGAUGCUUCAGCUCGUCCGCGUCUGCGUGAGCUGCUCCGUCGCAGGAGGAUGUUGGCAGUUGUUUGCAAUGUGUCAAAAUAUUAUUUUAAUCUCUAUGAAUUGGCUCGUGUUUUUUAGGCUUUGUUUAGUUUCAAACAAUUUUAUCAAAAUUUUAGAUUCUCCGUCACAUCGAAUUUUGCGGUACAUGCACGAAAUAUUAAAUAUAGAUGAAAACAAAAACUAAUUACACAGCUGUAAUUUAUGAGACGAAUCUUUUGAACCUAGUUAGUCCAUAAUUAGAUAAUAUUUAUUAUCAAAUAAAAACAAAAGUGCUACAGAACUGAAAUCCUAAAAUUUUGCAAACUGAACAAGACCCUAAAAUUUUGCAAACUGAACGAGACCUUAAUCGACACCCAAAGGUUCUCCGGUGGUCAUGAGUCAGACUCGUGGCCUGCCAUCCAUAUCAGUACACAUUUUCGGGGACCUUGAAC